rnacentral:tRNA from 1 species
UGGGACGUCGCCAAGUUGGUAAGGCAACGGUUUUUGGUAUCGUCAUCCGGAGGUUCGAAUCCUCCCGUCCCAGCCA